CUGUCUCUUGCUUCAAUGCUGUUUGGAUGGAACAG
rfam:Myotis brandtii contig226950, whole genome shotgun sequence.